AUGACUUUCUCCAUGAAAGUCGGCACAUCCUUCAGUACUCCUUCUUGCCAAAGUUCUUGCACCAAAGCUGGGAUGGGAUUGGCCGGACUGGGUGAUGCGGGCGUUGCUGCACAAGAGUAUAUCACAUUCGUCAGCGCUAACACAAAAAACAGAAAACUAAAUUGGGUCAGUAUAUACCAUAACCUAGUCCUAUGGAAAUUGUCAUGGAGACAUGUCUUCCAAAUGAAGAUUGAGAUAGGGGAAAACCAAUCAGAAGAAAAAACAGAAGGAGAAAAGGUACUAACUACAGUACUUCCUCUGAUCCAAAUUAAUCGAGGCAGCCUCUAUACAAAAUGGUACUAA
rnacentral:rRNA from 1 species